UACGUAGGGUGCGAGCGUUGUCCGGAAUUACUGGGCGUAAAGAGCUCGUAGGUGGUUUGUCGCGUUGUUCGUGAAAACUCACAGCUUAACUGUGGGCGUGCGGGCGAUACGGGCAGACUGGAGUACUGCAGGGGAGACUGGAAUUCCUGGUGUAGCGGUGGAAUGCGCAGAUAUCAGGAGGAACACCGGUGGCGAAGGCGGGGUCUCUGGGCCGUAACUGACGCUGAGGAGCGAAAGCAUGGGGGAGCGAACAGG
rnacentral:rRNA from 1 species